CGACCGGCGCACGGGUGAGUAACACGUAUGCAACCUGGCCGUCACAGGUGGAUAACCGGAAGAAAUUCCGACUAAUACAGCAUAACACUCCUGAGGGACAUCCUUCGGGAGUCAAAGGAGGCAACUCCGGUGACGGAUGGGCAUGCGGCGCAUUAGGUAGUUGGUAGGGUAACGGCCUACCAAACCGACGAUGCGUAGGGGUUCUGAGAGGAAGGUCCCCCACAUUGGAACUGAGACACGGUCCAAACUCCUACGGGAGGCAGCAG
rnacentral:rRNA from 1 species